GUGCUCAUUAAGCCAGCACAUGGGCUAAAGCUGAAACAAUACAGAGAACACUAGCAUAGACCCUGCCCAAGGAUGACACAAAUUUGUGAGGCAGUCCAUAUUAAA